CCCUUAGAUGUUCUGGGCUGCACGCGCGCUACACUGAGUGGAUCAGCGGGUCAGGUUGCGCGAAAGUGUUUCCUAAUCUUUAAAUCCGCUCGUGAUGGGGAUUGACGGUUGCAAUUUUCCGUCAUGAACGAGGAAUACCUUGUAAGCGCGGGUCAUCAUCCCGCGCUGAAUACGUCCCUGCCCUUUGUACACACCGCCCGUCGCUCCUACCGAUUGAGUGGUCCGGUGAGGCUUUGGGAUCUGAGCGGAAAGAGCGUUUCGCUGUUUCUGCUCGGAAAACUCAGUCGAACCUUAUCAUUUAGAGGAAGGAGAAGUCGUAACA
rnacentral:rRNA from 1 species